UGAAAUAGCUCAGUUGGUAGAGCACUUCACUCGUAAUGAAGGGGUCGUGGGUUCAAGUCCCAUUUUCA
rnacentral:tRNA from 3 species